UACAGAGGGUGCGAGCGUUGUCCGGAAUCACUGGGCGUAAAGGGCGCGUAGGUGGCGAUCCAAGUCCAUGGUGAAAGCUCGAUGCUCAACAUCGAGUCGGCCACGGAUACUGGGUUGCUUGAGCACUGUAGGGGCAGAUGGAAUUCCGGGUGUAGCGGUGGAAUGCGUAGAGAUCCGGAAGAACACCGGUGGCGAAGGCGGUCUGCUGGGCAGUUGCUGACACUGAGGCGCGACAGCGUGGGGAUCAAACAGG
rnacentral:rRNA from 1 species